ACCUGAUGAUGUGGACAUUUAUAUAGGAGGCCCCUAAAUCGCUCCCGGGUCUCAAAUAAAAGUUCCCCAUCCAUCUGUGAAAAACUUGUCAUAGCUCUCCGAAGCU